GUUAAAACACCAGCUCCAGUAUGAUCACUGAAGUUAAGCAACAUUGUACUUGCUCAAUACCUAGAUAGGUGACCACUUGGGAAUACCAGGUGCU